AAGUCGUAACAAGGUUUCCGUAGGUGAACCUGCGGAAGGAUCAUUAACAAUUUACCAUUUCAUAUGGAAAAAUUUAAAUCCAUACCUGCUUUAUGUGCACUGUAGAAUGUUUUUCUGCUUUUGGGAGUGUUUGGAUUUACCAACCUUCCAAAGUAGAAUUUUUUUCCAACUCUUUUGUAUAUUUUUUGUCUGAAAAUUAUUUUAUUACAAUAAACAAAAAUACAACUUUCAACAACGGAUCUCUUGGCUCUC
rnacentral:misc_RNA from 1 species